GAUGAACGCUCGCGGCAGGCCUAAUACAUGCAAGUCGGACGGGAUUCAGGAGCUUGCUUCUGAUGAGAGUGGCGCACGGGUGCGUAACACGUAUGUAACCUACCUUUAUCAGGGGGAUAGCCUCUCGAAAGAGAGAUUAAGCCCGCAUAAAAUCACAGCACAGCAUUGUGUAAUGAUCAAAUAUUUAUAGGAUAAAGAUGGGCAUGCGGAACAUUAGCUAGAUGGCGGGGUAACGGCCCACCAUGGCGACGAUGUUUAGGGGAUCUGAGAGGAUGGCCCCCCACACUGGGACUGAGACACGGACCAGACUCCUACGGGAGGCAGCAGUAAGGAAUAUUGGUCAAUGGGCGGAAGCCUGAACCAGCCAUGCCGCGUGCAGGAAGACGGCCCUACGGGUUGUAAACUGCUUUUAUACGGGAAUAAACCCAGAUACGUGUAUCUGGCUGAAUGUACUGUAAGAAUAAGGAUCGGCUAACUCCGUG
rnacentral:rRNA from 1 species